UAGAGUUCAAAUAAUCAAAGAAUUUUACAUAGUUAGUAGAGUUAGGUGAGAGAUAAACAGCACAGAUGUAUUUAGUAAUAGAAUGACAAUGUAGUCUUAGCCAGAUGGUGGAAAAUUCAGAAGAGUCAAGGUCGUGGGCACGAGAACAAGUGAUGUCGUUGCGCACGUAGGCGCAACAUCCAGCUUUGAAUUGAAAUUUAGGAUAGAGAUAGUAGGAGGGAACAGAUUAGAGGUUGCUGUCAGUAGCCCCAGAAACCUGUGUUUCGGUGAGGAAGAGAAGGUGAGGUUUAGAGGAGGAGAGAUGGUGUUCCACAGAAUGAAAAUUAGAACGAAGACCGCGAAUGUUGCAGAAAUUGAUAAGGAGGAGGUUCGAGGAGUCAUCAGGACACCUCUCAUGUCGGCAGCCAGAAGGGGAGUCCUCCCUGGGGGAAUUUAUGGUCCCCCACCAGGCGGGGACUCCGAGGCUCUGUUGUUCAUCGCCAUUUUGAAUUGAAUUUUGGAAAAGGUGUGUGUGUUGUGUGAAUGUAGUGUGGUGUAGAAAGAGAGAGGAACUGUCUUCAGAGAGCAUGCUGAACUGCUCUCUGGUGUUGAUGAGACAAUAGGGAAACGGUUAGUGAGGACAUGGGAGGGUCUUUGAAGGGCUUCAGCACCCUCCUCGCUUCCCAUAUAUCCUCACCGUGAGUUGCUCACGCCCGUUCGGUAGGUGUCUUCCUACCUACUCCUACUAAAUUAUAUAUGAGUAAAUAAUUUGUCCCGAACGGAGAUGAUCUUUUUCUUCUUCUUCUUCUUCUUUUGACCUGUAACGUUUUGUGUCGCUUCUUAGGUCUUCCUUCUCAACCCUUCUAUACUUCACACCAUGCACUGAGUUACUUCACAGUGCACACUUAUACACUUCACCCUGAACCUAGGUGUUUUUCUGUUCUUUUCUUCCCCUGACUUUGCUUUUCUAUGCCCUUUUGUUAAUUUACACUAAUACAGAGGGGGGUUGUAGCAGCCCCCUCACUCAUAGCUGCCAGAUACCAGGUGACUGAGUUGCCUAGUAUCGAGAUGGAGGAUCGGCUUGUUGAAUAUAGUAAUUGUAAAGACAGCGUUAUGAAUGUCAAAAAGAGAUAUUUAGAAACGAUGACAACUCAAACUAAUAGGAGUACCCAGUUACGACUGUCAAUGUAUUUAUAUUUUUUUUGUGUGUGAAUAUUUUUCCCUCUCCUUAUACUAUAUUUUAUUUAUUUUAUCUUUUUUAUGUCUAAUUUGAUAAUGUUUAUAAAAUAUUAAUGUUGGAAAACCUUUAUUUAUCACUGAAUUUUUUUUUUUUUUACAAAGAUAUGCAUUAAAACAAAAUAAAACAAAAUAUUGGAGUGGGCGGGACACUCUCGGCCUUACUUGGGUGACUCAUAAAUUGAGCUGUCAGGCCUUCUCUAUAUAGAGACGGCAAUUUCUCGGUCCGACUACCAGGCCCCAAAAAGAAAAGCCGAUCGGCGCUAAAGGCGUAAAAAAAAUUAAAAAAAAUAAAAAAUCUGAUCUGACUUAUGGUAAAGUAGCAAGUUAGAGUUAGAACGUGGUCUAAUGUAAGGUUCAAUGGUCCAAGUGUCUUUCCUUGUUCUUGAGUUGGUUCUUACAGUUUCAGUCGAUUAUUCGAGUAGCAAGUUAUUUAUAUUUUCAGUCGUGCCGAAAAAGAAUCAGAAAGUAGUGUAAUGCAUGGUUUCAGGGUUCAGGUGUCACUCAUUCCUGGUUCUUCAGCUGGUUCUUGUAAUUUCAGUCCACAUGCAAGCAGUAGCAAUAAUUAAUCCCUUGGCUGUUGUUGUUGUUGUUGUUGUUGUUGUUGUUGUUGUUUUUGUUUUUAUUGUUGUUGUUGUUGAUGUGGCGGUGGUGGUUCCUUCUUUCAUCAACAGACCAGAAGCAAAGGGAAGCGCCAGGCACUCGAAUCACACUAUCUGAAGACUGUUAUGUCGUUGUCUGUUCCCACGAAAGGAAAAGAAAUUAGUGACUAUAUAAAUAUAAACUUUAAACCAAAACAUCUGGCCUUUGCAAUACACUUUUCUGAGCGAUUGUUUUAGGCGGUGUUGUACGUAUAUGAUUCAAAAGAGAUAGUUUGGUACGAGUUAGAAGAGACAGAAGAGACAGUUUGGUACGAGUUAGAAGAGACAGAAGAGGAUUUUUUUUUUUUCUACAACAAAGGAGACGGCUAAAGGGCAACAAAAAGUGUAGAAAAAAAAGCUACUAACCGCUCCCACAACAGACAAAAGUAAAGAGUGGCCAAAAGAGAAGUCAAUUUCAGGUGGAGAGGUGUCUUGAUACACUCUUCUUGAAAGAGGUCAAGUCAUAGGAAGGAGAAAAUGCAGACGAAGGAAGGCUGUUCCAGAGUUUACCAGUGUCAGGGAUAAAAGAGUGACGAUGCUGGUCAACGCUUGCUUAAGGGGUUUGGACAGUGUAGGGAUAAGCUAGAGUAGAAAGUCGAGUGCAGCGGGGCCGCGGGAGGGGGGAAGGCAUGCAGUUAGCAAGUUCAGAAGAGCAGUCAGCGUGAAAAUAUCGGUAGAAGAUAGAAAGAGGUAGAUGACUGUCGGUAAGAAGAAGGGAGUUGAUGAGACGAAGAGACUUUGACUCUACUCUGUCCAAGACACCUGUGUGAGUGGAGCUCCCCCACACAUGUGAUGCAUACUCCAUACAAGGGUGGACAAGGCCCCUAUAUAAAGACAGCAUUUGUGCGGGGGAGAAGAACUGGCGGAGACGAUACAGAACGCCCAACCUCGAGGAAGCUGAUUUAGUGAGAGAGGAGAUAUGGAGUUUCCAGUUGAGAUUUUGAGUUAAGGAUAGACCGAGUAUGUUUAGUGAAGGAGAAGGUGACAGCUGAGUGUUGUCGAAGAAUAGAGGAUAGGUGUUUGGAAGAUUGUGUCGAGUUGAUAGUGAAGAGAUUGAGUUUUUGAGGCGUUAAAGGACACCAGGUUCUUCUUGCCCCAAUCGGAAAUGAUAUUAAGGUCUGAGGUUAAGCCUUCUGCAACCUCCAGCCUGGAAUCGUAUAGUUCCUGUUGAGUUGGCCUCCUAUCAAAAAUAGAUGAUGAGUAAUGCAGAGUAUAGUCAUCGGCGUAAGAAUUGAUAGGACAGUUCAUUUUGGAAAGAUCAUCAAUGAACAAUAGAAAGAGAGUGGGAGAUAGAGCAAAGCCCUGAGGAGCACCACUGUUGAUAGGUUUAGGGGAAGAACAGUGACCGUCUACUACAGCAGUGAUAGCUCUGUCAGAGAGGAAAUUGGAGAUGAAGGUACAGAGAGAAGGAUAGAAACCGUAGGUGGAUUUGUGCCAGACCCUAUCAAAGACUUUUGAUAUGUCUAACGCAACAGCAAAAGUUUCACCAAAACGGCUAAGAGAGGAUGACCAAGAGUCAGUUAGGAAAGCAAGAAGAUCACCAGUAGAACGCCCCUUGCGGAACCCAUACUGACGAUCAGAAAGGUCAGAAGUGGAUAGAUGCUUAAGAAACUUCCGGACCAUCUAACUUUCGGUACAAGUUAGAUGAGACAGAGGAGACAGUGUGGUACGAGUUAGAAGAGAUAGAAGUGACAGUUUGUUACGAGUUAGAUGAGACAGAGGAGACAGUGUGGUACGAGUUAGAAGAGAUAGAAGUGACAGUUUGUUACGAGUUAGAUGAGACAGAGGAGACAGUGUGGUACGAGUUAGAAGAGAUAGAAGAGACAGUUUGGUACGAGUUAGAAGACAGAAGAGACAGUUUGGUACGAGUUAGAAGAGACAGAAGAGACAGUUUGGUACGAGUUAGAAGAGACAGAAGAGACAGUUUGGUACGAGUUAGAAGAGACAGAAGAGACAGUUUGGUACGAGUUAGAAGAGAC